GCAGUUGUGGCCGAGUGGUUAAGGCGAUGAACUAGAAAUCCAUUGGUGUCUCCUUGCACAGGUUCGAAUCCUGUCGACUGCG
rfam:Ixodes scapularis strain Wikel colony gcontig_1108378476038, whole genome shotgun sequence.